CUCCUUUGAAAAAAAAUCCCUGCAUCCGCGCCUUCGACCUACUAAUAUUACAGAAAUGUUUUCUUUAGAUAUUUUUAAAACAUGCUCUUGUUCAUUGGAAUUACGCUCUGCACUGACUCUUUUUAAACAGUCUUUAAACAAUUUUGCUAAAGUUUAUGAUAUAUAGAGCGUAACAUCAUACACCAGGAAGUAGGAUCCGUUUUGAAUGGAACAAAAAAAAUAACAACUGUGGUAUAAUUGCUGUGUUGAAAAAAAAUUGUGUACGUUCUUUUAUUGAGGACAUUUUGUUGAACAGGCCUGUGAGCCCUUUUGUUUCAACUGUCAUAUGUAAAUCAAGUUUUACUGGUAAUCAAUAUACGGAAUCCAAAUAUUUAUGAACCGUCUGACCAAUUCAGCUAAUUUACAGAGGAGUUACGAAAUACUGGUUUAAAUCACCUGACUGACAUAGUUACAUGUCACGAGGUGACGGUUAUUUUUUUAUUUGACUGACAUACCCAAAGCUGUAGAGGAGUGCAGAUUCUUUUGUGGGAGAAGGAUGGCCCGAGCGCUUAUUGUCGAUCUAUUCUCGUCUGCAUUAGGUUUAGUUUUCUGUGGUGUUGCCACGGUAACACCCGGCUUCUUCAUUUAUCAGAAUCAAAGGUUGAGCAUCUUUUACUUAAGCUAUAAGGAGUCUAGAUCUGACACAUGGUCAACAAAGACUUAUCUAGCUUAUGAUAAAGAGCGCGAUACGAAUGGAUUGAACCAUUU